AAGCCAGUUAAUUACUCUGGUUAUCUGAAUGUGUUUCUGUAAAAAUUUAGAAACAGCUGGCAAUAGUGAUGCCAUUUUAUGAGCCUUAAGGACAACUGAGGUCAUUAUGAUUCCUCAAAAUGGAUACAAUA